rnacentral:rRNA from 1 species
UACGUAGGGUCCGAGCGUUGUCCGGAAUUAUUGGGCGUAAAGGGCUCGUCGGCGGUUCUUCACGUCGGGAGUGAAAACUCGGGGCUUAACCCCGAGCCUGCUUCCGAUACGGGCAGACUAGAGGUAGGCAGGGGAGAGCGGAACUCCUGGUGUAGCGGUGGAAUGCGCAGAUAUCAGGAAGAACACCCGUGGCGAAGGCGGCUCUCUGGGACGGUACUGACGCUGAGACGCGAAAGCGUGGGGAGCGAACAGG